ACGAACGCUGGCGGCGUGCUUAACACAUGCAAGUCGAACGGAAAGGCCCUGCUUUUGUGGGGUGCUCGAGUGGCGAACGGGUGAGUAACACGUGAGUAACCUGCCCUUGACUUUGGGAUAACUUCAGGAAACUGGGGCUAAUACCGGAUAGGAGCUCCUGCUGCAUGGUGGGGGUUGGAAAGUUUCGGCGGUUGGGGAUGGACUCGCGGCUUAUCAGCUUGUUGGUGGGGUAGUGGCUUACCAAGGCUUUGACGGGUAGCCGGCCUGAGAGGGUGACCGGCCACAUUGGGACUGAGAUACGGCCCAGACUCCUACGGGAGGCAGCAGUGGGGAAUAUUGCACAAUGGGCGGAAGCCUGAUGCAGCAACGCCGCGUGCGGGAUGACGGCCUUCGGGUUGUAAACCGCUUUCGCCGGUGACGAAGCGUGAGUGACGGUAAUGGGUAAAGAAGCACCGGCUAACUACGUG
rnacentral:rRNA from 1 species